rnacentral:misc_RNA from 1 species
UUUCCGUAGGUGAACCUGCGGAAGGAUCAUUACCGAGUGAGGGCCCUCUGGGUCCAACCUCCCACCCGUGUUUAUUAUACCUUGUUGCUUCGGCGGGCCCGCCGUAUGGCCGCCGGGGGGCUUCUGCCCCCGGGCCCGCGCCCGCCGAAGACAUCUCGAACUCUGUCUGAAGAUUGUAGUCUGAGUAAAAUAUAAAUUAUUUAAAACUUUCAACAACGGAUCUCUUGGUUCCG